UUUGUUAAGACACUCCAGGUCAUCCUAAAUAUUUAGUUUCAUUUUGUUAAGACACUCCAGGUCAUCCUAAAUAUUUAGUUUCAUUUUGCUAAGACACUCCAGGUCAUCCUAAAUAUUUAGUUUCAUUUUGCUCAGACACUCCGGGUCAUCCUAAAUAUUUAGUUUCAUUUUGUUAAGACACUCCGGGUCAUCCUAAAUAUUUAGUUUCAUUUUGCUAAGACACUCCAGGUCAUCCUAAAUAUUUAGUUUCAUUUUGCUAAGACACUCCAGGUCAUCCUAAAUAUUUAGUUUCAUUUUGCUAAGACACUCCAGGUAAAUAUUUAGUUUCAUUUUGCUAAGACACUCCAGGUUAUCCUAAAUAUUUAGUUUCAUUUUUCUAAGACACUCCAGGUCAUCCUAAAUAUUUAGUUUCAUUUUGCUAAGACACUCCAGGGCAUCCUAAAUAUUUAGUUUAAUUUUGUUAAGACACUCCAGGGCAUCCUAAAUAUUUAGUUUCAUUUUGUUAAGACACUCCAGGUGAUCCUAAAUAUUUAGUUUCAUUUUGCUAAGACACUCCAGGGUCAUCCUAAAUAUUUAGUUUCAUUUUGCUAAGACACUCCAGGUUAUCCUAAAUAUUUAGUUUCAUUUUGUUAAGACACUCCAGGUAAAUAUUUAGUUUAAUUUUGUUAAGACACUCCAGGUCAUCCUAAAUAUUUAGUUUCAUUUUGCUAAGACACUCCAGGUUAUCCUAAAUAUUUAGUUUCAUUUUGUUAAGACACUCCAGGUCAUCCUAAAUAUUUAGUUUAAUUUUGUUAAGACACUCCAGGGUCGGACUUGUCGAUAGCAGAUUGUGGAUAAAUACUUUUUUUCAUCUUACUAUCUGUAAAAUACUAAAGACAUUUAUGUAAAAUGCAUUUUUUUGGCACAUUUUUACAAAUAAAAUGUUAUCUAGAAUAAAAAAUGUACAGCAUUAU